rnacentral:rRNA from 1 species
UACGUAGGGUGCGAGCGUUGUCCGGAAUUAUUGGGGCGUAAAGGGCUCGUAGGCGGUUUGUCGCGUCGGGGAGUGAAAACUCAGGGCUUAACCCUGAGCCUGCUUCCGAUACGGGCAGACUAGAGGUAUGCAGGGGAGAACGGAAUUCCUGGUGUAGCGGUGAAAUGCGCAGAUAUCAGGAGGAACACCGGUGGCGAAGGCGGUUCUCUGGGCAUUACCUGACGCUGAGGAGCGAAAGUGUGGGGAGCGAACAGG